GAUGAACGCUGGCGGCGUGCCUAAUACAUGCAAGUCGAGCGAACGGACGAGAAGCUUGCUUUUCUGAUGUUAGCGGCGGACGGGUGAGUAACACGUGGAUAACCUACCUAUAAGACUGGGAUAACUUCGGGAAACCGGAGCUAAUACCGAAUAAUAUUUUGAACCGCAUGGUUCAAAAGUGAAAGACGGUCUUGCUGUCACUUAUAGAUGGAUCCGCGCUGCAUUAGCUAGUUGGUAAGGUAACGGCUUACCAAGGCAACGAUGCAUAGCCGACCUGAGAGGGUGAUCGGCCACACUGGAACUGAGACACGGUCCAGACUCCUACGGGAGGCAGCAGUAGGGAAUCUUCCGCAAUGGGCGAAAGCCUGACGGAGCAACGCCGCGUGAGUGAUGAAGGUCUUCGGAUCGUAAAACUCUGUUAUUAGGGAAGAACAUAUGUGUAAGUAACUGUGCACAUCUUGACGGUACCUAAUCAGAAAGCCACGGCUAACUACGUG
rnacentral:rRNA from 1 species